UCACAUUUUUAAAUUUCAGUAACCACUUGACAAGACUAUCCGCCCGGCUCAGUCUUGCCAUCUCACAUACUCGGGUAGCUAUCCGCCCGGCUCAGCUUUCCCGAUCACACAAUAUCCAUACAAAAGUCAUCAAUCCUUAAUCACAAUCAUUUCACUUCACAACACAUCACAAUCAAUUCACUUCACAACACAUCACAAUCAAUUCACUUUAUAACAAGCCAAAAACAUAACUAAUAUCAACUCAGUCAACGAAGAAAUUAUCAAGUAAUCAAACAGCAGUCCCUACUCAAUAUAAACAAAGUUUAGUCUAUUAAAUACUUAC
rnacentral:lncRNA from 1 species